UUGACUCUCAUAUUGACUCUCCAGAUGGA
rnacentral:piRNA from 1 species